GUUGUUGUGGUGUAGUGGUUAUCACGCCUGUCUUACACACAGAAGGUCCCCAGUUCGAGCCUGGGCAGCAACA
rnacentral:tRNA from 1 species